AUUGAACGCUGGCGGCAUGCCUUACACAUGCAAGUCGAACGGCAGCACGGGAGCAAUCCUGGUGGCGAGUGGCGAACGGGUGAGUAAUAUAUCGGAACGUGCCCAGUCGUGGGGGAUAACGUAGCGAAAGCUACGCUAAUACCGCAUACGAUCUAUGGAUGAAAGCGGGGGAUCGCAAGACCUCGCGCGAUUGGAGCGGCCGAGAUCAGAUUAGGUAGUUGGUGGGGUAAAAGCACACCAAGCCGAAGAUCUGUAGAUGGUCUGAGAGGACGACAAGGAUCACGGGGACUGAGACAAGGCCCAGACUCCGACGGGGAUCAGCAGUGGGGAAUUUGGGACAAUGGGCGCAAGCGUGAUCCAGCAAGGCCGCGUGCAGGAUGAAGACCUUCGGGUUGUAAACUGCUUGUGUACGGAGCGAAAAGGCUUCCACUAAUACUGGGGGCUCAUGACGGUACCGUAAGAAUAAGCACCGGCUAACUCCGUGCCAGCCGCCGCCGUAAGAC
rnacentral:rRNA from 1 species